rnacentral:rRNA from 1 species
UACGAAGGGGGCUAGCGUUGUUCGGAAUUACUGGGCGUAAAGCGCGCGCAGGCGGCUAUCCAAGUCAGUGGUGAAAGCCCGGAGCUCAACUCCGGAACUGCCAUUGAAACUGUUUAGCUUGAGGAUGAGAGAGGUGAGUGGAAUUCCCAGUGUAGAGGUGAAAUUCGUAGAUAUUGGGAAGAACACCGGUGGCGAGGGCGGCGACCUGGUCCUUGACUGACGCUGAGGCGCGAAAGCGUGGGGAGCAAACAGG